rnacentral:rRNA from 1 species
CCUACGGGGGGCAGCAGGCGCGAAACCUUUACACUGUACGAAAGUGCGAUAAGGGGACUCCGAGUGUGAAGGCAUAGAGCCUUCACUUUUGUACACCGUAAGGUGGUGCACGAAUAAGGACUGGGCAAGACCGGUGCCAGCCGCCGCGGUAAUACCGGCAGUCCGAGUGAUGGCCGAUCUUAUUGGGCCUAAAGCGUCCGUAGCUGGCUGAACAAGUCCGUUGGGAAAUCUGUCCGCUUAACGGGCAGGCGUCCAGCGGAAACUGUUCAGCUUGGGACCGGAAGACCUGAGGGGUACGUCUGGGGUAGGAGUGAAAUCCUGUAAUCCUGGACGGACCGCCGGUGGCGAAAGCGCCUCAGGAGAACGGAUCCGACAGUGAGGGACGAAAGCUAGGGUCUCGAACCGGAUUAGAUACCCGGGUAGUCCUAGCUGUAAACGAUGUCCGCUAGGUGUGGCGCAGGCUACGAGCCUGCGCUGUGCCGUAGGGAGGCCGAGAAGCGGACCGCCUGGGAAGUACGUCUGCAAGGAUGAAACUUAAAGGAAUUGGCGGGGGAGCACCACAACCGGAGGAGCCUGCGGUUUAAUUGGACUCAACGCCGGACAUCUCACCAGCCCCGACAGUAGUAAUGACGGUCAGGUUGAUGACCUUACCCGAGGCUACUGAGAGGAGGUGCAUGGCCGCCGUCAGCUCGUACCGUGAGGCGUCCUGUUAAGUCAGGCAACGAGCGAGACCCGCACUCCUAAUUGCCAGCAGUACCCUUUGGGUAGCUGGGUACAUUAGGUGGACUGCCGCUGCCAAAGCGGAGGAAGGAACGGGCAACGGUAGGUCAGUAUGCCCCGAAUGGGCUGGGCAACACGCGGGCUACAAUGGUCGAGACAAUGGGAAGCCACUCCGAGAGGAGGCGCUAAUCUCCUAAACUCGAUCGUAGUUCGGAUUGAGGGCUGAAACUCGCCCUCAUGAAGCUGGAUUCGGUAGUAAUCGCGUGUCAGCAGCGCGCGGUGAAUACGUCCCUGCUCCUUGUACACACCGCCCGUC